UGUUUACCAUUUGUUAACUAGUUAGGAAACAGACACUCGUUUUAUCGAUCCACCCGGUUUCAAGAGCGCGUAGUUGAUAAUCGUGUUCUAUUUACUUACUGAACACUUGAAAGCCAUCCAAAGACGAUUUCUUCCCUUUACACGCCAAACCAUUUUAUACAAGAUAUGUGCUGGUCUCGUUGUAGAUGUGGCACUUCCGACUUUUUACUGGUUGACAAAAUAUACGACGCAUCUAGCGGUGAAUUACCUCGGGAAAAAAUGGCAGAAGUUUCAGGACGAGAGGGCUGCCGCUAAUUUGCCCGCCAAACCCCAGAAACCGAUAUGGCGGCCAAAACAGAGGAAGAAAAAGAAAAAUAACAUGACUUGAUAGAUUUCAUGAUUCAUUGUUCAAAAUGUUUUUUGUCAUCUGCAUCUAAAACUUUUAACUGUUUUACAGAA